GGAGAACCUCGGUGCAAGGCGGCGGGGGCGGGAGAGGGGCGGCGGGGGGAUCGGAGGAGCCGAAAUUGAAGCUGAAGUGGAGCGGAUUGGAGAAGGGGAAUUGAGGGUUUUGUGUGACGGUAUCGUUCUUGUUCUCCCCCAUGGCUGGGUUGAACGGUGAAAUGGGCACCACUGACUGGGAUCGGAGGACGGCGGUGGCGGUGGCGGUGGCG
rnacentral:misc_RNA from 1 species